rnacentral:piRNA from 1 species
UGAAAGUUGUUAAGUAUUGGUGAAUAGUCUA